rnacentral:rRNA from 1 species
UACGGGGGGGGCAAGCGUUGUUCGGAAUUACUGGGCGGAAAGGGCUCGUAGGCGGCCAACUAAGUCGGAUGUGAAAUCCCCAGGCUCAACCUGGGAACUGCAUCCGAUACUGGAUGGCUUGAAUUCGGGAGAGGGAUGCAGAAUUCCAGGUGUAGCGGUGAAAUGCGUAGAUAUCUGGAGGAAUACCGGUGGCGAAGGCGGCAUCCUGGACCGACAUUGACGCUGAGGAGCGAAAGCCAGGGGAGCAAACGGG